rnacentral:rRNA from 1 species
UACGUAGGCAGCAAGCGUUGUUCGGAAUUACUGGGCGUAAAGAGUGUGUAGGCGGUGCUGCAAGUCUGGUGUGAAAUCUCCCGGCUCAACUGGGAGGGUGCGCCGGAAACUGCAGUGCUAGAGGGUGGGAGAGGUAAGCGGAAUUCCUGGUGUAGCGGUGAAAUGCGUAGAUAUCAGGAGGAACACCUGUGGUGUAGACAGCUUACUGGACCACUUCUGACGCUGAGACACGAAAGCGUGGGUAGCAAACAGG